rnacentral:rRNA from 1 species
CCUACGGGAGGCAGCAGUGAGGAAUAUUGGUCAAUGGGCGGAAGCCUGAACCAGCCAAGCCGCGUGCAGGAUGACGGCCCUAUGGGUUGUAAACUGCUUUUAUACGAGAACAAAGCCCGGUACGUGUAGCGGUCUGCGUGUAUCCUAAGAAUAAGCAUCGGCUAACUCCGUGCCAGCAGCCGCGGUAAUACGGAAGAUUCGGGCGUUAUCCGGAUUUAUUGGGUUUAAAGGGUGCGUAGGCGGGUUGUUAAGUGUGCGGUGAAAUGUGCGGGCUCAACCCGCGCCUGGCAGCGGAAACUGGCAGACUUGAGUCGGCGAGAAGCACGCGGAAUGCGUGGUGUAGCGGUGAAAUGCUUAGAUAUGGCGAAGAACUCCGAUUGCGAAGGCAGCGUGCUGGCGCGAAACUGACGCUGAUGCACGAAAGCGCGGGUAUCGAACAGGAUUAGAUACCCUUGUAGUC